rnacentral:lncRNA from 1 species
AGACGAAGCGUGUGUUAAGCCCUCAAUCAUUAAAAAAACAGGUGAGUGUGCAUUCACACAUUCUUUCCAAAUUGAUUAGGAUAUUUUGAAAAAAAAGAAGUAAGCAAUUUUUCAUUUUGUAUAAACUUUAUUUUUUAUCUUUUUGGUAUUUUUAUUAUCUUUUUUUUUGGAAUUUUUAUAAUAUUUGAUUUUUUGGUACUUUUAAAUAAGAAAAGGAUGACAUA